rnacentral:lncRNA from 1 species
AUGAAACAAAGAGUCCCAAUGCCCAGCUCGCCCAGGAGAUCUAGAGCUGUCCCCAACUCCUUUCUGCCUCUGUUCCCCUUCACUGCAACUGCAGCUGCAAUGUGGGACCACCCAGGAGACUCUUCUGUUCAGGGUAAAUAUGAAGUCUUCAGCUGGGAAACACAAUGGACAGCUGCCCUGUGCGUGCUGAGGAGGUGGGAGCUGGGGGCAGAGUGGUUGAAUGACUUGGCAGCUUUGUAAGUAUUCUGGAGCUUAAAUUAUGUCAAGGCCACCCCAAAGCAUCUCCUACACUCUGUAACCACUUCAGAUUUAAAGCCAUUGACUUUUCUUUUUCAUCACCAACAGUGGCAGUCUCCUGUAAACAACAGUGUAAGGUUACAAUCUCCUGUAACCUUGACUCAUAUGUAUAUUAAAAUGUGCUUUCUUUGAUCUAAGUUUUGCUUCUAUAUAACCAUGUAUCCUAAUAAUCUUAAAAUUUUUUAACACUUUUUGUCUACUGUUGGCAGCC